CAUGGUAUUUGGCUUUCUCUUUCUGACUUAACUUCACUUAAUAUGAGAAUCUCUAGGUCCGUCUGUGUUGUUGCAAAUGGCAUGAUUUCAUCCUUUUUCAUGGCUGAGUAGCAUUUCAUUGUAUAUACAGCAUGGGGCUACAAGGUACACAGCUUUUGGAAUCCAAGAGACCUAGUGUUGACUUUGACUCCUGCUACUUACUACCUAUUACUUACUUGCAGGUUACUUUAAUCCUCAAUUUACUCAUUUGCAAAAUGGGAAUAAGCUUACCCAUCUCCCCAGGUCCUUUGGGGAAUAACUGAAGUAAUAUAUGUCAAGUUCUUCUGAGGGCUGAGGAUACAGAAAUUACUCAAUAAACUUCAUAAAGCUUUCUAACGUUGUGGCAACACAUAUCGCUAAGUUCAAAGCUGGUCAUCUGCAAUGGAUUUCAGUGUUUCCACAUGCCCACAGACAAACAUAGAAGGGUGCUGGACCUGAAUGGUAGUGCCUGAGGAUGAUCCAGCCUGCCAAAUCAGGCUCUCUGCAGUGUGCCCAAGCUGCCAAGCAAAGAACCCCUGAGUAAGUCUCUGCUGAAUAUCCCAGGACACUGUGGCAGCAGACACAAGGCACAGAACCAGCAGACACCUCAAGGAGAGACCAGAUGCCGACGGCCAGCCAUUAGAGCUAACCGCAUAGUUUGCAUUUUUCUAGUUGAUCCCUGACUUACCAACGUGACUAUACUUGCAGGAAUAACUAGUCAGUCCCUUUCAUCUUCACUUAAGACGCCCCUGAAGAGCAUCAGCUUUAUUCCUGCUCUCAAGUGUGUCCUGGAGUUGGGGGCCUUUAUAAGAAAGCCAGGCGGGCUUUGAUAGGAAAGCCCACCACCUGCAGCCGAGAGAGGAGGAAGACCUGCAGAGUCAGCCUGAAUUCAAACCAGUUUUCCCAGCCUCCAGAGAGACAGAGUGGCCGUGAAUGUCUUUUGCCCUUGAGCUCUGAACAGAGACUGUUAGAAGGGGAGGAACACAGAAGACGACCCUAAAUCUCGGCUCCAAAGUCUGGCUUCCGGGCCCAAGGUCCUCAUGAUGACUUGAGCUGGUCUUCUUUCCUUUGACUAAAAAUGUCCUUCCAGAAAGCAUCCCUCUCUGACUCUCCUCUGCCACCCUCUCCAAAUGAAGAAGUGCUCAAGAAAAUUCUUUUAGGCUGACAGCAUCCAAAGCAAACACACAAGUCCCCAAGAGAUUCCUUUUAAAGUAGACGUGAUGCUGGAGAGAGCAGCACCCAGACAAGCUUUGCAAGAAAUCAGAGGGGGUGGCUUUUACGAGGAAAAGAUAAUCUACCAGUGGAAAAAAGAGUGACUUCCAUGGCUGUGCUCUUCUGGUUCUCAUAAUACCACUGACUCCAGGUCUGUGCAGGGAGACACGGCAGAGAGAGAAAGCAGGAAACAAAAGAACCAUCACUGCCUGCAAUAACAGACGACUCUCACAGAAGGAGCUACAUCAGCCACCUUGCAACCAUGAGGCAGCACAUUAACAUGCUAUGGAAACCAGGAUGGACUGAAAGAAGGGACCAUUAUCCUACAGCAGACACAGCAGGCAAUCACUCUGGUGUUGAAAAAGGCAACUGCUAAAACGAUUUGAGACAGAAAGGAGCAUCUCUUCAAGGAGCCAAGGGAAAGUGAAGCAGGUGUGUGUUCUGUCCCCUGAUGGUGAAAGGAGCCAGCGGUUGGUACAUCUGGAAGAAGAGGCCAGCUGCUGAAAGGGGAGGUGAGGGAUGUGCCACAGCUCUGAUUCCACCUGCAACCACAGACCUCUGGAGGCGUCAAAUCAUGGAGACGAUGGGAAGGGGGCUGAUGGAGACAGAAGUCAUUCUGAUUGCAAAGGAAGAAGAAAUAAGAAGAAGAGAAGCAAAAUUUGUGACGAGGUGCUGAAGAGAGAGUUUGUGAUGGACUAUAGCGGGUAGCGUGGGGUCUUGAGGGCCACCUCCAGAAAUUCACAUUGGGUAUCAGGCAUCCUGACUUCUACAGGCAGCUGGCAGGAGGGAUGUGGUGAUGAGCAUAUGGGGGUUGUUCCAUGGCUUCAGAGAAGGUUAACAAACAGAACCCCACAGUGUUGGUUAAUUACUUGCUAUAACCAGGAGGGAGUCCUUAGGGCCGUGCCUGAGGAAUGAUGACCUUGUGGCUUAACAAAUUUGCAAAGGAGUCAACUGGAAUCCUAGCUGGUGGGCUGAUGGCAGGGACAGCAACCACAGCCUGGAAUGAGGACCCCGAAUUAAUACAGCAAAAGUUAAUACAGACAAAGAGGCUUUUAAAAGCAAGCAUUUACCUAUGCAAAAGAUUUAGUAUAUUGAAUGGUCUGUAAACUCAACAGGGAACAGGAAGUGAUGGAUGUGGCUUCCAAAACAAUAAACGCAAUAGUAGAUGGGACCAAUAGGAGGGAUGGGAAUAUAAGGAGAAGUAUGCUGGGACAGGGGCAGAUGGCAGGCAGAGUUGGGCUCUGAGUCAGACUCCCCUCUGCCUUCAUCCUGGCUCUGCCACUUAAGGCUGUAGAAAGAUGGUCAGUGCCAUGCGCAUCUGCUUCCGCAUCUAUCCAGUGGGGAGGAAGAUGGUACUAGUACUAUCUCAUACAGCCAUUUUGAGGAUUAAAUGAGGUAGAUGUACGUAGAGUGCUUAGAAUAGUGUUUGGUGCAUGGGAAGCACUCAGAGAAUGUCACGAAGGAGAAGAAAAUGCGAGGGAGUUGGAAUGGUAAGACCACCAUGAGAAGGUGUGUGAUGCUGGGUUUAAAAAAAUGAAAUAUGAGAGUUCCCGUUGGGGCUAAGCAGUAAGGAACCCGACUAGGAACCAUGAGGUUGCAGGUUCAACCAUGA